GAAUGUGAAGGUGAUCUGACUGAGACAUCUGCCACCCCACUGAUCGCCAGAGUUGAUUUAGCUGAUCUGGUUAGCUACGCAGGUGUCCCCUUCCUCCCUCACUGCUCCAUGCACAUCCUUCCCCAAGCCGUGCACUUAGUCAAAGAGGAUGACCAUUCCCAAUAGAGGAAAACCAUUUCCUUAUUCAAAGUCAUGGUGUUUGAGUAGCCAUGAUCCCCUGUUAGAACCUCCAAAGAGGCUCGAAGGGCUAAGUGCCAUUCCAGGGCUUAGGAUGCAGUGUUGAGCAAAACAGUCUCUGCCCACCCAAAGCUGAUACUCUAACAUGUAUAUAGAU
ensembl:misc_RNA 7SK 7SK RNA